AGAGUUUGAUCCUGGCUCAGAUUGAACGCUGGCGGCAUGCCUUACACAUGCAAGUCGAACGGCAGCACGGAGCUUGCUCUGGUGGCGAGUGGCGAACGGGUGAGUAAUAUAUCGGAACGUACCCUAGAGUGGGGGAUAACGUAGCGAAAGUUACGCUAAUACCGCAUACGAUCUAAGGAUGAAAGUGGGGGAUCGCAAGACCUCAUGCUCGUGGAGCGGCCGAUAUCUGAUUAGCUAGUUGGUAGGGUAAAAGCCUACCAAGGCAUCGAUCAGUAGCUGGUCUGAGAGGACGACCAGCCACACUGGAACUGAGACACGGUCCAGACUCCUACGGGAGGCAGCAGUGGGGAAUUUUGGACAAUGGGCGAAAGCCUGAUCCAGCAAUGCCGCGUGAGUGAAGAAGGCCUUCGGGUUGUAAAGCUCUUUUGUCAGGGAAGAAACGGUGAGAGCUAAUAUCUUUUGCUAAUGACGGUACCUGAAGAAUAAGCACCGGCUAACUACGUGCCAGCAGCCGCGGUAAUACGUAGGGUGCAAGCGUUAAUCGGAAUUACUGGGCGUAAAGCGUGCGCAGGCGGUUUUGUAAGUCUGAUGUGAAAUCCCCGGGCUCAACCUGGGAAUUGCAUUGGAGACUGCAAGGCUAGAAUCUGGCAGAGGGGGGUAGAAUUCCACGUGUAGCAGUGAAAUGCGUAGAUAUGUGGAGGAACACCGAUGGCGAAGGCAGCCCCCUGGGUCAAGAUUGACGCUCAUGCACGAAAGCGUGGGGAGCAAACAGGAUUAGAUACCCUGGUAGUCCACGCCCUAAACGAUGUCUACUAGUUGUCGGGUCUUAAUUGACUUGGUAACGCAGCUAACGCGUGAAGUAGACCGCCUGGGGAGUACGGUCGCAAGAUUAAAACUCAAAGGAAUUGACGGGGACCCGCACAAGCGGUGGAUGAUGUGGAUUAAUUCGAUGCAACGCGAAAAACCUUACCUACCCUUGACAUGGCUGGAAUCCUCGAGAGAUUGAGGAGUGCUCGAAAGAGAGCCAGUACACAGGUGCUGCAUGGCUGUCGUCAGCUCGUGUCGUGAGAUGUUGGGUUAAGUCCCGCAACGAGCGCAACCCUUGUCAUUAGUUGCUACGAAAGGGCACUCUAAUGAGACUGCCGGUGACAAACCGGAGGAAGGUGGGGAUGACGUCAAGUCCUCAUGGCCCUUAUGGGUAGGGCUUCACACGUCAUACAAUGGUACAUACAGAGCGCCGCCAACCCGCGAGGGGGAGCUAAUCGCAGAAAGUGUAUCGUAGUCCGGAUUGUAGUCUGCAACUCGACUGCAUGAAGUUGGAAUCGCUAGUAAUCGCGGAUCAGCAUGUCGCGGUGAAUACGUUCCCGGGUCUUGUACACACCGCCCGUCACACCAUGGGAGCGGGUUUUACCAGAAGUAGGUAGCUUAACCGCAAGGAGGGCGCUUACCACGGUAGGAUUCGUGACUGGGGUGAAGUCGUAACAAGGUAGCCGUAUCGGAAGGUGCGGCUGGAUCACCU
rnacentral:rRNA from 1 species